rnacentral:rRNA from 1 species
CAGGACGAACGCUGGCGGCGUGCCUAAUACAUGCAAGUCGAACGGCUUUUCUAUGGAAGCUUGCUUCCACUGAGAAGAUAGUGGCGAACGGGUGAGUAACACGUGGGUAACCUGCCCAUAAGAGGGGGAUAACAUCCGGAAACGGGUGCUAAUACCGCAUAGUUUUCUUGAUCGCAUGAUCGGGAAAGGAAAGACGGCCUUUGUGCUGUCGCUUAUGGAUGGACCCGCGGCGUAUUAGUUAGUUGGUGAGGUAACGGCUCACCAAGACGAUGAUACGUAGCCGACCUGAGAGGGUGAUCGGCCACAUUGGGACUGAGACACGGCCCAAACUCCUACGGGAGGCAGCAGUAGGGAAUCUUCCGCAAUGGACGAAAGUCUGACGGAGCAACGCCGCGUGAGUGAAGAAAAGGUUUUCGGAUCGUAAAACUCUGUUGUCAGAGAAGAACAAGUUGGAGAGUAACUGCUCCAGCCUUGACGGUAUCUGACCAGAAAGCCACGGCUAACUACGUGCCAGCCGCCGC